AGAUUGAACGCUGGCGGCAUGCCUUACACAUGCAAGUCGAACGGUAGAGUAGCAAUACUCGAGAGUGGCGAACGGGUGAGUAAUAUAUCGGAACGUGCCCAGUCGUGGGGGAUAACGUAGAGAAAUUUACGCUAAUACCGCAUACGAUCUAAGGAUGAAAGCGGGGGACUCGCAAGAGCCUCGCGCGAUUGGAGCGGCUGAUAUCAGAUUAGGUUGUUGGUGAGGUAAAAGCUCACCAAGCCGACGAUCUGUAGCUGGUUUGAGAGAACGACCAGCCACACUGGGACUGAGACACGGCCCAGACUCCUACGGGAGGCAGCAGUGGGGAAUUUUGGACAAUGGGCGAAAAGCCUGAUCCAGCAAUGCCGCGUGCAGGAAGAAGGCCGUUCGGUUGUAACUCGUCUUUAGUACGAACGAAAGUACUACGCCUAACGACGGUCGGCCGAACGUGACGUACGUAAAGAA
rnacentral:rRNA from 1 species